UUGUUGUAUAUCAGCUCAACAUUAAAGUAGUCUUUUCCCACUUUUGAUAACCUAUUUCAGUUAAACUAAAAUUUAAGGCUUUCAGUGAAACUAUUUGAGUUAAUCAUGGGUACCUAAAUGUUGUAGAAGACCUGUUACCUUGAGAAAAAGCGAAAUGAAACAAUGUUCCCUAACACCUUUCAGGCAGUGAAAAUUUUUCCGAAUCUCGGUUGGAAAAGUUACUGUUGAUGGAUGGCAUUGUGUUAGUAACUCAAUCUGCAGCUAGCACAUGCAUUUACAAAUGCAGAAAAUCUAGAGAUUUCUCCCAAGAAUCCUUUUUAUUCUUUUCUUUUCCAAGAUUGUCUUUAUUUCAAAAGUCAGUUACAAAAUUUGUUUUUAUAAAUAAAACCAUAAUAAUUCAUUUAACAUUUAUCAAGUGCUUUAUUUCUAGUAGGCACAAAAUCAGGUAGACUUUGAAGCACUCUCUCCAAUCUGAGUCAGUCCAUUGUCUCUGGUACGUUAUCAAGCACGAACCUAAAUCUGAAAAAUACUUCUUCCAAGAUUAAACAUUUUAAAUUAUAUCUCAAAUUCUACCAUUCAUCUUUCUCAUCUUAUUAGCUUUCCUAACAGUUUAAGUACAUCUCAUACUUCACUUUCACAAUAAAGGAAAAAAAUAAAUAAAAAUAAACAAGAAAGAAAACAUGAAUAACAGUAAAAAAAAAUACAUCUCAAGGUUUUCUCUGUUAGGCAGAUGCUGUAGGAAAGGGUCUUAGUGAAAUGAAAGUGUAAAGUGUCCUUCAGCACGUUCUCUAGUAUGCACUUAAAGAAUUCAUGCAACAGUUGUCUGCUGUCAAACCAGCAGAGGCCAGAAGAGAGCUAUUUUUGGAGAAUUAGUUGGACACAAGAGCAUAAGUAACCAUAAGAGAAAACUUCUAAAUUAAGUAGAAUAUGAGCUGGAUGCUCUUGGUACCAUAACGACAACUCAUUUAAUAGCUCUUGAUAGAAUAAAGCAAAUGACAAAAGCAAGAAUUCAGUCCUGAGAGGGGGAGGAUGUCAACAUGUGUCAUAUACUGGACAUCUGGGGAAACAAAAUGGAAACAGCAUGAAAAGAUGAUCAGAACCCAAAUUGUGCUUUAGAUUCAUUAAUCUAGAGAACAGAUGUAGGGAAGGUGCAAUCUUCGGGGCAGUAAAUGUGAAUGUGAAAAUGCUAAAAUACUAAGGAGCCCAAAGGAACUUUAGUGAUAACUUGCUUCUUGUCUCACUUUUUAAUGAAUGAAACCUAAAGAAAUAGUGCUUGCCAAGGUCCCAAAAGACAGAAACUAGACUGUGGUAUAUUAGGGACUUUAGAAGUUUCGUGUUUGUUAAUUUGUUUACGCUUUCUAGGUGCAUGUGUCUCUUUACAGAACACAGUCCCUUUGAGGCAUUAGCUGGAUGUCCUAAAUUUGCGUCUUGAAUGUAAUGUAAGAUCUAAGAAUUUAGAGUCCAGUGUUUACAGACCUAUGAUUUCUAAACCAUGAGUAGCAGAUCCCUUUAUUCAAAUUAAAUCUUACACAGAACUUCAAUAAACAGUGAUUCUUUAAUGUCAUAAAUUUCUCUCAAUCAAAUCUGCCACCUUAUAAGUUCAACCAAGAAGACCACAAAAUUGUGAAAUGAAUUAUGGAUGGCAGAUUAUGUUUUAUAUCAGCUUGGUCUUCCAUGGUAGAGUAAUCAAACAUUUGCUGUACUUCAGACUAAUUAAUAUCUGAGUGCCAGACACAGGUGUCAGUACUUGUUUUUAAGUUUGUACAUAAUUCUAGGGUGCAGCCAGGUUUGUGAACAUAGUCUUAUUGCUACACACUAGGGCAGUAGCAUUUAAACUGCCACUUAAGCUAGCAUGCAUAAGAACCACACAUUGCUAAGCCACAUAAAGCAUUGAGACCCUAGCAUUUACAGUUUUCACAUGUUCCCAGAUGAUGUUAAUGCUACCAACAAAAGGGCCACAAGGGCCCAAUCAUAAAAAAAUCACACCGAUUUUGAUUGGAGAUUCUCAGGCUUUUCUCCCAGGAAUUUCAAUAGAGGGAUAGCCUGAAUAUCUGUAUUAACUUCCCAAGUUAUUAGUGUGAGGCAAAUUGAAAUUUUCUCCUAUAUGAACAUGUAUGUAAGUAAGAAAUAUGUCAAAAUUCCAUACAUGUGGCAGAAAAUAUUUUGAAGGUAAUAGUGCAUUAAUUUAGAUAAAGUUCUAAGGCCAGCUAUGUAUAUAAAAUGGAUUUAGGGGGUGGGGCAAGGGUAGGUCAGGCAUAUUAUCAGGUGUACAGGAGAAUCGUAAUUACUAUAUUCCAAGUAUAACCAGCAACAGGGCCAAGAUGGUGGGAGUGAAAUUAG